rnacentral:rRNA from 1 species
UACGUAGGGUGCGAGCGUUGUCCGGAAUUAUUGGGCGUAAAGAGCUUGUAGGCGGUCUGUCGCGUCUGCUGUGAAAAUCCGGGGCUCAACCCCGGACUUGCAGUGGGUACGGGCAGACUAGAGUGUGGUAGGGGAGACUGGAACUCCUGGUGUAGCGGUGAAAUGCGCAGAUAUCAGGAGGAACACCGAUGGCGAAGGCAGGUCUCUGGGCCACUACUGACGCUGAGAAGCGAAAGCGUGGGGAGCAAACAGG